rnacentral:rRNA from 1 species
AUUGAACGCUGGCGGCAUGCCUAACACAUGCAAGUCGAACGGCAGCGCGGAGAAGCUUCGGCUUCUCUGGCGGCGAGUGGCGGACGGGUGAGUAAUGCAUGGGAAUCUGCCCUUUGGUGG